rnacentral:lncRNA from 1 species
AUUAGUGGAAAUGAAUCAGAAGAGAUGAGGAACGAAAAGGCAGAAAAGAAGUUCCUCGUCCGCGGAUCUUUAUCCGUUUUACUUUUAUUGCCAAAUAUGGCGAUAAUUAAUUUUUAUUUAUUUUUUAUCAAAAUUUCAAAACAAAAUAAUCCGUUCAUCAAUAAUCGGCUAACCCACGUGGUUAGUGAAUCACCGGAACCUCACAAUACUACCCACUUUCCAAAAUGAUCUACAUCUGUAGAUUCAUUUUAAGCAUUCCUGACAUACGGUAGGUAUUUCCCCUAGAACUCUCUCUUUACUAUCUACCCUGCGCAUGGGAACCACUCGAUUCUAUUCUAAACGUGACUUCAAAAUGACGAGAAAAGGCAAGAUAAAGAGAAAAAAAACAAUAUUUAUUAUGACUAAUGAUUAAUUUGAGAUGUACCUAUUUUAUAAGAUAUAUAUAAUAAUACUAAAAUAAUUGAAGUUUACUAAGUAUAUACGAUUGAAUAAUGUUAGUCCUGGGUUUUCUUGAUGUUUCCCGAUUUCUUAUCUCCAUUCGAUCUGUUUAUUAAAUGUCUUCUUCGGAUAAAAUGAAGUGUGAGAGGGAGGAUGCGGCGUCAUCUCCGAUCUUUCUCGUGGUGGACUGCACUAUGGAGAAACGUCGGGAGAAUGGGCUUUAAUUCUAUUGUUUCUCACGGCUAACGCACAUAUAAUGCAAGUAUUCAAUUAAAAUAAUUAUAAGUAGAUUAGACGUUCUUGAGCUAUCUCCCAUAUUUAUUUCGCUCAAUAUCUGAUAUUUAUUUUAUCCCAUAUAACUUUUCCUUUUAAUUGAUUUCUUAUUUUAAUUUUUAAAGUUUAUAUUCUCGUUUCUACAGUUACGUAUUUACGGAAGAAACAGGUGCUUAAAACAGAAAAUCUCGUAGUUGAGGGCAUGUGCUUUUCCCACAGAAAGCCUCACAGGCUAUGGAUAUGUGCCUCUGUAACGAGCAGAAAGCCUUGCAUUAACAGCUAUGUGCUCUUUCACACCCUUAUUUCGAAUCUAUUUUAUAUAUACUUGCUUUUUGUGUCUCCCUCUGUUGUGUAUAUUUACUUAUUGUCCAAAAUUUUUAUCCUGCUCUUCAUUGGUGUGUUUGUUUUUAUAAUGUAAUGGCUUAUAGUAUAGCAGUUUAGGCUAGUGCACGUGCUUAUGUAGUAGAUUAUAUUCUACAGCGGCUUAUGCGUGGGCAACCGCUUAAUCUACUACUACUGCUUGUUGUGCUAGUGAUGCUAGUGCCUUAUGCUAUCUCUUCUGCUAGUGCAAGUGUAAUGGACUCUCACCGCGUCAUGCUAAUGAUGCUGCUUGACCUCCUUUUUCGAUUGAGGUGGUUUCUGUCAACCUUUUGCCACCCUUGUUAUUUAUCUAUCCAUUUAGUCGCCUCUUACGACACGCAGGUUCACGGUGGGCC